ensembl:lncRNA
GGAGAGAGUGGGCAGCCUUGUCUAGUCCCUGAUUUUAGUGGGAUUGCUUCAAGUUUCUCUCCAUUUAGUUUAAUAUUAGCAACUGGUUUGCCGUAUAUAGCUUUUACUAUAUUUAGGUAUGGGCCUUGAAUUUCUAUUCUUUCCAGGACUUUUAUCAUGAAGGGGUGUUGAAUUUUGUCAAAUGGUUUCUCAGCAUCUAAUGAAAUGAUCAUGUGGUUUUGUUCUUUCAGUUUGUUUAUAUAAUGGAUCACGUUGAUGGUUUUCCGUAUAUUAAACCAUCCCUGCAUGUCUGGGAUGAAGCCUACAUGAUCAUGGUGGAUGAUUGUUUUGAUGUGCUCUUGGAUUCGGUUUGCCAGAAUUUUAUUGAGUAUUUUUGCGUCGAUAUUCAUAAGGCACUCAGCGCUAUGAAUUUUCCUCUUAGCACAGCUUUCAUUGUGUCCCAUAAGUUUGGGUAUGUUGUACAUUCAUUUUCAUUCAAUUCUAAAAAGUCUUUAAUUUCUUUCUUUAUUUCUUCCUUGACCAGGUUAUCAUUGAGUAGAGCAUUGUUCAAUUUCCACGUAUAUGUGGGCAUUCGUCCCUUAUUGUUAUUGAAGACCAGUUUUAGGCCGUGGUGGUCCGAUAGCACGCAUGGGAUUAUUUCUAUCUUUCUGUACCUGUUGAGGCCCGUUUUUUGACCAACUAUAUGGUCAAUUUUGGAGAAAGUACCAUGAGGAGCUGAGAAGAAGUUAUAUCCUUUUGCUUUAAGAUAGAAUGUUCUAUAAAUAUCCGUUAAGUCCAUUUGGCUCCUGACUUCUCUUAGUCUGUCUACGUCUCUGUUUAAUUUCUGUUUCCAUGAUCUGUCCAUUGAUGAGAGGGGUGUUGAAAUCUCCUACUCUUAUUGUGUGAGGUGCAAUGUGUGUUUUGAGCUUAGUAAGGUUUCUUUUAUGUAUGUAGCUCCCCUUGUAUUUGGGGCAUAGAUAUUUAGGAUUGAGAGUUCAUCUUGGUGGAUUUUUCCUUUGAUGAAUAUGAAGUGUCCUUCGUUAUCUUUUUUGAUGACUUUUAGUUGAAAAUUGAUUUUAUUUGUUAUUAGAAUGGCUACUCCAGCUUGCUUCUUCCGACCAUUUGCUUGGAAAGUUGUUUUCUAGCCUUUCACUCUGAGGUAGUGUCUGUCUUUGUCUCUGAGGUGUGUUUCCUGUAGGCAGCAGAAUGCAGGGUCCUCGUUGCGUAUCCAGUUUGUUAAUCUAUGUCUUUUUAUUGUGGAGUUGAGGCCACUGAUGUUGAGAGAUAUUAAGGAAUAGUGAUUAUUGCUUCCUGUUAUAUUCAUAUUUGGAUGUGAGGUUAUGUUUGUGUGCUUUUCUUCUCAUUGUUUUGUUGCCAAGACGAUUAGUUUCUUGCUUCUUCUAGGGUAUAGCUUGCCUCCUUAUGUUGGGCUUUACCCUUUAUUAUCCUUUGUAGUGCUGGAUUUGUAGAAAGAUAUUGUGUAAAUUUGGUUUUGUCAUGGAAUAUCUUGGUUUCUCCAUCUAUGUUAAUUGAGAGUUUUGCAGGAUACAGUAACCUGGGCUGGCAUUUGUGUUCUCUUAGGGUCUGUAUGACAUCAGUCCAGGAUCUUCUGGCCUUCAUAGUUUCUGGCGAAAAGUCUGGUGUGAUUCUGAUAGGUCUGCCUUUAUAUGUUACUUGACCUUUUUCCCUUACUGCUUUUAAUAUUCUUUCUUUAUUUUGUGCGUUUGGUGUUUUGACAGUUAUGUGACGGG